rnacentral:hammerhead_ribozyme from 1 species
AAGCGAAACCGCCCCGGCCUUGCUGGGGCGGUCUGCCGGGCGUGGUAGCCCGGUACUGAUGAGCAGCCACAU